rnacentral:rRNA from 1 species
CAUUAUCGUACAACCGAGGUGUGAGGGUUGUCGCUGACCCAUCAAGGGUCGUGCACGCCCGAGCGCUCUCACCCAAUCCAUUUCACCCCUUCUGUGCACCGUCGCGUGGGCCCCCUUUUUCAAAGGGGGCUUGCGUUUUUCACACACAAACAUAUGAUGCAGUGUAGAAUGUGGUUAUUUUGCAGUCAUGUAUGCAAUCAAUACAAUACAACUUUCAACAACGGAUCUCUUGGCUCUCGCAUCGAUGAAGAACGCAGCGAAAUGCGAUAUGUAAUGUGAAUUGCAGAAUUCAGUGAAUCAUCGAAUCUUUGAACGCACCUUGCGCCCCUUGGCAUUCCGAGGGGCACACCCAUUUGAGUGUCGUGAACUUCUCAAAAGCCUUUCUUUCGGGAAAGGGUUUUGGACUUGGAGGUGUUUUGCUGGCUUCACACUUUGAAGCAAGCUCCUCCUAAAUGGAUUAGUGGGGUUCACUUUGCCGACCCUUGGCGUGAUAAGAAGUUUCUACGUCUUACGGGUAUGGCACAGUUUCUUGGACGCCUGCUUCUAACCGUCUCAUUGACAAAGGAUGGUGCUCCGGUCACCGCCAGCUUUUUAUUAGAAGGUGGUGGAGGCUUGACCCACAAAUGAAACCUUGACCUCAAAUUGGGUGAGACUACCCGCUGAACUUAAGCAUAUCAAUAAGCGGA